rnacentral:rRNA from 1 species
GGGGGGGGGGGGGGGGGGGGGGGGGGGGGGCGGGGGGGAGGGGGGGGCGCGGCGUGGGGUGGGGGCUCGAGUGGCGGACGGGUGAGUAACACGGGGGUAACCUGCCCGUUACGUUUGGAGAACUUCAGGGAACUGUGGCUAAUACCGUAUCGGAGCUCCUGCUGCAUGGUGGUGGUUGGAAAGUUGCGGCGGUUGGUGAUGUACUCGCGGCUUAUCAUCUUGUGGGUGGGGUAGUGGCGUACCACGGCUUUGACGGGUAGCCGGCCUGAGAGGGUGACCGGCCACAUUGGGACUGAGAUACGGCCCAGACUCCUACGGGAGGCAGCAGUGGGGAAUAUUGCACAAUGGGCGGAAGCCUGAUGCAGCAACGCCGCGUGCGGGAUGACGGCCUUCGGGUUGUAAACCGCUUUCGCCUGUGACGAAGCGUGAGUGACGGUAAUGGGUAAAGAAGCACCGGCUAACUACGUG